CAAAAUUGCCAAUGGUCCCCACAUGGUACCAGCUGCUGUUGAUCACCCUGUGUGAACGCCAAGCCAACUGGUGUGGCUGUGUGAUGGCGUCAACCCCGGAGAAACAGCUGAGUCCACCAUUCAAAAGGUCGAUGUUGUCACCCCAAAUGAAGACGCCAUGUCAAGCUCCUCCAUCACACCAAACAUGA
rnacentral:lncRNA from 1 species